GAGUUUGAUCUUGGCUCAGAUUGAACGCUGGCGGCAUGCCUUACACAUGCAAGUCGAACGGCAGCACGGGAGCUUGCUCCUGGUGGCGAGUGGCGAACGGGUGAGUAAUGCAUCGGAACGUAUCCUGGAGUGGGGGAUAACGUAGCGAAAGUUACGCUAAUACCGCAUAUUCUGUGAGCAGGAAAGCGGGGGGACCUUCGGGGCCUCGCGCUCUUGGAGCGGCCGAUGUCGGAUUAGCUAGUUGGUGAGGUAAAGGCUCACCAAGGCGACGAUCCGUAGCAGGUCUGAGAGGAUGAUCUGCCACACUGGAACUGAGACACGGUCCAGACUCCUACGGGAGGCAGCAGUGGGGAAUUUUGGACAAUGGGGGGCAACCCUGAUCCAGCCAUGCCGCGUGAGUGAAGAA
rnacentral:rRNA from 1 species